rnacentral:rRNA from 1 species
GACGAACGCUGGCGGCGUGCCUAAUACAUGCAAGUCGAGCGGACAGAAGGGAGCUUGCUCCCGGAAGUUAGUGGCGGACGGGUGAGUAACUCGUGGGCAACCUACCCUGUAGAUCGGGAUAACAUCGAGAAAUCGGUGCUAAUACCGGAUAAUCAUUUGAAGUGCAUGCUUCGAAUGUAAAAGAUGGCUCCGGCUAUCACUACGGGAUGGGCCCGCGGCGCAUUAGCUAGUUGGUAAGGUAAUGGCUUACCAAGGCAACGAUGCGUAGCCGACCUGAGAGGGUAAUCGGCCACACUGGGACUGAGACACGGCCCAGACUCCUACGGGAGGCAGCAGUAGGGAAUCUUCCGCAAUGGACGAAAGUCUGACGGAGCAACGCCGCGUGAGUGAUGAAGGUUUUCGGAUCGUAAAGCUCUGUUGUUAGGGAAGAACAAGUGCCGUUUGAAUAAGGCGGCACCUUGACGGUACCUAACCAGAAAGCCACGGCUAACUACGUGCCAGCAGCCGCAGUAAUAC